UACGUAGGUGGCAAGCGUUGUCCGGAUUUACUGGGCGUAAAGAGCGCGCAGGCGGUCGUUCAAGUCGCGUGUGAAAGCCCCCGGCUCAACUGGGGAGGGUCACGCGAUACUGAUCGACUCGAAGGCAGGAGAGGGUAGUGGAAUUCCCGGUGUAGUGGUGAAAUGCGUAGAUAUCGGGAGGAACACCCGUGGCGAAGGCGGCUCUCUGGGACGGUACUGACGCUGAGACGCGAAAGCGUGGGGAGCAACAGGG
rnacentral:rRNA from 1 species